rnacentral:rRNA from 1 species
UACGAAGGGGGCUAGCGUUGCUCGGAAUCACUGGGCGUAAAGGGUGCGUAGGCGGGUCUUUAAGUCAGGGGUGAAAUCCUGGAGCUCAACUCCAGAACUGCCUUUGAUACUGAGGAUCCUUGAGUUCGGGAGAGGUGAGUGGAACUGCGAGUGUAGAGGUGAAAUUCGUAGAUAUUCGCAAAGAACACCAGUGGCGAAGGCGGCUCACUGGCCCCGAUACUGACGCUGAGGCACGAAAGCGUGGGGAUCAAACAGG